AGACACCAAAACUAGUGAAUAACAAGACUAAAAUUUGAGCCACAGUCCAAGCCAACGGUGGAUGAAGACAUAGUUCAAGACGAUAGCAUCAUUCAAUCACCUGUGCCCGCUUCAGCCGAAAAGGAGACAACGGUUUGUGCCUUCAGUCUGCUGGGUUCUGUCCUCCCUUGGGCCUUCCCCAGUCACGGCAGAAUGUCUACCCGCUGCCAUGAGGGUUGACUGCCCUUACUGAACUGGCCACAGCGCACGGAGAGAGAAAUAACACUAACCCCUCCAGAAGCCAUCUGACACAGCAGCAGCAGACUUGGCGAGGGGUUUUACAAAAUGCUUUAUCAUUUCUGAGGAGCAGAAGGAAGAGCCAGAGCUUGGACUGCACCCCGAUAGGAUGCGCAGCACUCACCAUUAGGGGAACACCCUGCCUUGCAAUGAAGUUGAUCAGGAAAUAAUUGAAGGGAACAAAUCUGGAAACUCCCAGUGCCAGCUUCAUUCUGAGGUCCAAUGACACAAUCCAGACCUUUGAAUUUGGGGAAGGAGAGUGCUAUCGACACAACACGUUAAACAACCUUAACUCCAGUAGUUAAACCGGCAGCAUAGAAAUGUUAAGUAUCUCAGAGCUGUAAGGAGAACCUCUACCCUCACAGUCCAGCCUUCUUGCUCCAAUGCCUAUGGAAGUCAGUCAUGACUUCAGUGGAUUUUGGAACUCACCCUCAGCCCCCACACUGUGCCAGAUUGUUACCUGGUGUAACUCGCCCAGCUCCAGCGGCAAUUUAUCUGGACUAUGUGACUGGGCAAAUUUAUUGCCAGAGACUGGGCAAGUUCUAGUUCCUUAGUGCCUAAUUUUCCUGUAACAGGAUGCUGUAUGUAUGUACCAUUAGGACAGUGAAAAAGAAAUCAGAUGGCAGUCACUUUCUUCUAAUACUAAAUGCACCCUUUCACUGGGAUAAGGAAAACAGUGCCGGAGAGAGAGAGAAGUUUCCACUUCCAAAGAAAUGUCUUAUUACCUUCAGAAGUUAAUUGCUUAGGACUCAGCUGUAUCUUCUAGUAUUCUGCAUUUUAUUUUUGCUCUUAGACUUGAUGGAUCUGGAAUUCUAUUCCGAGCUGCUAACUCAAUUUUUGCUUUUUAAAGCUCAUUUAAAACCUUUCCUACUUUCCUGUGUCUCUGAUUAACACUAAUCCACUCUACCCUUUCUCUUCCUGCAGCUUCUUAUACUCGCCCCUUGCUGCAGCCUGUAAGAAUUCUAAUUGGCGUCUGCUCUUCUUUUUGGGUUUCCAUUUUUUUCUUUCUUCCUGCUCCAUUUUCUUUCUGUUGCUAUCUGGGCUGCUCUAUGCCAUCCUGUUAUACUUUCUAGCCCAGAUCUGCCUAGUGCUGUAAAGGAUUUGAUGAUUUUCUUUAGGAAGGACUCUAAUAAUAGCCACAAUCCUGCCCCUUUACAAAUCUUCCUUACAAUGAAGGGAAAAAAAAGUUUAAAAAAAAAAAAAGUUCUGCCCUCUGGAGUGAAUUCCAUUCAAAAUCAAAAGUUAUUGCUAAAAAAAAUUUUAAAAUCCCUCUCUGUUCCUGAUGGAUUGGAUAAAUUUUAAAGGAGCAAUGUUGUAAUUUAUGGGGAAUUCGAGCACAGAUCUCAGAGCUCCCUAUUAGACCGGGUAACUUCAGAUAUUUUUUAAAGAAAUAAUUUCAGCUUUCUUCUCCAACAAAAGGCUACAGUUUAUAACAGGAGAUCAAGCCAGCCAGAAAGUCCUUGAGGUUCUCCGGUGACUUCACUGUUGUCCAUCAAAUUAACAUGGAAGAUGAUGAAACAUUGCUACUUUAAUGGGCAGAGGGACAAAACCCCUGACACACUGCAGAGAGGCUUUUGCAAAACAAGCAACUAGAUGCCAUCUGAGCUGGAUGAAGCCAGCAGAUGCCAGAGCCCAGGACUAUAAUGGGAUGUGAUGGAUUUCGAGCUUUAACUGCCAUUUCGGGUGGCCUAUGCCAAAACUGUGAUUUCUCAGCCCCUAUUCAGCUGCUGCCUCAGCUUGGCUGCCCCAGAGGUGAAGCUGUUCCCCUUGAAGACCGGUGCCUGACACUGGCUUCCUGGCCCUGCUCACAAGUAGCUUAGUUAGUGCCACUCUCACAGGCUUGGAGCCGUGUCGUGCCUGUGCUCCCAGGGCCUCGGAAGCCAGCGCUCCCCGCCGCCCUCCCGGCACCCUUGGCAGUGCCAGCUGCUGCAACGCACGGGCUCCGGAGCGCAUUGUUCAGAGCCCUCUCCUCUGUUCUCCGUUUGGUAAGCAGUACUUUACCAUUUACAUUUUAACAUGCUUUGCAGAGUCACAACAUUUACAGGCAGAACGUACUGUUAGGCAUUAGGGUGGCCUCCUGGACAUGACGGACCAUAAAAUACUGUUGUCACUCUUCUUUUUGUUUGACUAAAAUACGUUUUGUUUUGACAAAGGAAUUUCUUUUAUCAGCUCUUCAUUCUCCUUUGGUCUUGUCAGAAAAUGGAGAAUUCACUUUCCCUUUGAUAGUUUGUUCCAGUGGUUUCUCACUUUCUCUGUUACAAUAUAAUGCCCAGUAUCUAAUUCACAUUUUUCUAGCUUCAGCUUCUAGCAACUGCCUCUUCCUAUGCCUUUCCCAAUUAUGUUAAAGAUCCAUAGAGUAUUCUGCAUUUUUCAACACAUCCCAUCCACUGUAAUCAAGCCACAGCUUUUGGCUUUCUGCUCCGGCCGCUGUGCUAUUGGCGCUGCAGUGAGAGCCAUCACGGCCAGCCUUCCGUGAGCAGCAGAGUUCAGUGCAGAAUACAGGUGCCCUUUCACACAUUUCUACGCCAGCUGCUCUGAAUUACUGCAGGAGCAGAGUCGUCAUCUCUGCGGCGGCAGAAGAAUGGACAAGAAUAGUU